CAGCAGUUAUGUUCAGUUCUCUGGCAGACAGACAGUGCCAGAUUUUUGAAAGCCUUUGCAUGAGUUGAUAUCCAGUGGUCCUUGCCUGCCUGACCACGUUUUUGCCUCAAGGAUUUUCCUGUCUUGCCUAGCCCUCAUCGGAUAUCUCUUGCUUCUGGAUUGCGACCCUGUUUACCUUUCGACUUAUGCUUCCUGCCCUGCCCCUGGAUCUGUCCUCCUGAGCCUGCUCCCAUGUGUCUGAUCCUCCUUCUGUGCCUCGACUCCAAUCCUCGCCUAGUCCUCUAACAAGAAGCCUGUUUCUGCCUCCCUUGUUCUCGACCCCGCUUCUGUUCACUGGCCGUUGCGUUUUGGAUAAUCCCUCAGUCGGCAACCAGACAUCUGUUUAGCGGUGUGCUCCUCACUGUCUUUCUAGGCCAGCUACUGCCAAUCCAUCACCCUGCUGAGGAACUGAUCCCUUGUCCCCUGCUCAACACGGACUCUGAGAAGUGGUUCCUGGUCCAUGGUUGGUGGUUUUCUGCAUCCAAGUCCUGAAUUUUAAUUUAUUUUUUUUAAACAAGGGCUUGUGUCUCUGGCUGAAAUUUCAGGUCCUCUGUCCUGAUCAUUAUAAUCUUCUCCUAUCCAGAUUACUGUCCAGUUGAUUUUUAGGUCACACUUUAAAAAUGUCCCUUUUGACAAUUGCAGUGUUUUUUAAAAGAGACUCAAGUUGAUUAUAACCCAUCCUUUGCAGAUGGGGGUCAAUAUAAGCAAAUAACAUUGUAGAGGACAGUGUCACGAUCAGGCCAAUACAUUCAAGAUUAUCUCCCCCUGCCCACGUUCUAAGUUCAAAUUUAAUAUAAUUUCUAGACCAGUAAACGGCCUACUAGUGGCUUGGCGGGGGCAUUGCACAGUUUUUUUUUCUGUUUGUAAUGAAGUGAAUGUUAACAGAAAUGGGGGGAAAAAAAAAAAAAAAAAAAAUCCUGUCCAUAACAACAAUGAACAGUAAGAAGUUUAAUAUUAAUGGUUUGUGUGAAAUGUAUAUGUAAGGGUGGGGGAGAAGCCUUUUGUGUUGGACACAGACUUUAGGAGGGAACAUAGGGAGUAAACUAAAAAUUCUAUAUGGCUGCAACACAUAAAAUGAUUGGUGCUGUAAUAAUUUUGUAUUUCUAGCAGUUGUAUCUAAUUAAACCAGUUGCUGGAGUGUUUUUGUACAUAAGAGGCAUCGGAAUUGGCUUCUGAUGCUUAUCACAGUUAGCCUGAUCACAACAAUCAGCAAACUUCACUUGUUUUCUGAUCUGAAGGAACUGUUUAACUUCAUUGUUUUUUGUUUUUUUUUCAGAGAAAUUACCUAAGUAUGUAAGUAAAACACCUAAGUAUGCAAAGCUGUGUUACUGAAACUAAGCCAAUGAUGGUGACAGCUUGGUACUCAGUAUAGCUGAAGGCAGGGGAUUUGAUAAUCCCACCUGUUUAAAGGUUUGGCAUAGAACCUGUGUAUUUCUUCAAAAGCUGUAAAUCAUUAUUACUGUUGAUAAAUACACAUGAAAUAAAUUUGUCUAAAAAUAUUUUAAACAUAUUUUGCUAGCUUUUGAUGUGUUUCAUGUAAAAAAAAUAAAACCACAAUAUUUUUUUCUUUUGGCUGCAGUGAAGACAUAACAGAAUAAACAGAUCAAACUAAAACCCUCGGCAA